rnacentral:snoRNA from 1 species
CCUCUAUUUCUUGGCACUCAGGGGUUUCCCGUAUCCCUGCGUGUAAUGUUCGGAGGUAGAUCAUAGGCCCCGGUGCUAUGUCUUCGGUGCCCGCUCCUUUUCCAUGAGCUGGUUCUAUCCUCAAUCGCUGGGACAAGA